AAGCUUUUUAGGGGAAGCUUUGUGGGUGAAGCUUUGGAGGUGAAGCUUUUCGGGUGAAGCUUUUUUGGGUGAAGCUUUGUGGGUGAAGCUUUUUAGGUGAAGCUUUGUGGGUGAAGCUUUGGAGGUGAAGCUUUUCGGGUGAAGCUUUUUUGGAUUUUUUUUUUUUUUUUUUUUUUUUUUUUUUUUUUUUUUUUUUUUUU
rnacentral:lncRNA from 1 species